GUUGGAGAGGAGUGGAGACAGAGCAGAGAACUGUUUGGGGCAGGUGCUGCUGUUUCACUUGACUCUCAUCAUACAUUGGAAAGAGUAUUCAUUGUGCAAGUUCACAAGAAGGCUGGGGUGCUCCUGAUUUUCCCUUUCCCUCCAUGUGCUUCUCUCAAGACGGCAAGGGACGUGUGCAUGGCUGAAAGUUGAGGAUAUUGGCCACUGUUUUCUGUUGUUUCCUGAUUUCUACUGUGUUUCUAAUCUUGUUUUCUAAUGUCAUUUCUACUGUUUUCUUAAUGGUUCUCUACUGUUUUUGAUGGUACAUUUAUGGGUUUUUUUUGGAUAGUUUCUGUAUUUCUUUCCUUAUAAUUUCUGUAUUGAUUGCUUUAGUUUCUGUGGUUUCUUUGUUUUGUUAAUUUUUUUUUUGGUGCUUUUAUUUAUUUAUUUUUUUGCAUUGUUUUCUGGCUAUGACUAUCUGCAUAAUUUAUUGUAGUAGCUAAGUUUUGUUUAAUUUUGUAAUUCUUUGUUUUUUGGGUUCAAUUUAAUUAGUUUAUUUUCUUUUUUCAUUGGUUUCAGUAACUUUGUGGGUUUUGUGGGUUUUUUUUUUUUUCAAAUUAAUACUCUGCCACACUUGAGUUUCUUUUCAUCUAGUGUGUUUUGUUGAACAGUAUUUUUGAAGUUACCAAAGAAAGAAUCCAAGCUAGUCCUCCCCAUUAUGGUUUGUUUGGUGUGGUGUGCAGUGUAGUGUUAAGCUGUGGGGUUUGUGGAUCCUUUAUUUUUGGUUUGCUUUAUUCCAUCCAAAACUGGUGUUCAUGUGCUAAAGCCAAGUAUUGUCAGUGUCAACCAAUUCAGUGGAGAUUCAUUGUGGGUUUUAUGUUUGUGUUUUUGAUGAUUGUGAAUAAAAGUAUU